rnacentral:rRNA from 1 species
CGAAACUGGCGAAUGGCUCAUUAUAUAAGUUAUCGUUUAUUUGAUAGUACCUUACUACUUGGAUAACCGUGGUAAUUCUAGAGCUAAUACAUGCUAAAAAUCCCGACGUCAGAAGGGAUGUAUUUAUUAGAUUAAAAACCAAUGCCCUCUGGGCUCUCUGGUGAUUCAUAAUAACUUCUCAAAUCGCAUGGCCUUGUGCUGGCGAUGGUUCAUUCAAAUUUCUUCCCUAUCAACUUUCGAUGUUUGGGUAGUGGCCAAACAUGGUUGCAACGGGUAACGGAGGGUUAGGGCUCGACCCCGGAGAAGGAGCCUGAGAAACGGCUACUACAUCCAAGGAAGGCAGCAGGCGCGCAAAUUACCCAAUCCCGAUUCGGGGAGGUAGUGACAAUAAAUACUGAUACAGGGCUCUUUUGGGUCUUGUAAUUGGAAUGAGUACAAUUUAAAUCCCUUAACGAGGAACAAUUGGAGGGCAAGUCUGGUGCCAGCAGCCGCGGUAAUUCCAGCUCCAAUAGCGUAUAUUAAAGUUGUUGUGGUUAAAAAGCUCGUAGUUGAACCUUGGGCCUGGCUGGCCGGUCCGCCUCACCGCGUGUACUGGUCCGGCCGGGUCUUUCCCUCUGUGGAACCCCAUGCCCUUCGCUGGGCGUGGCGGGGAAACAGGACUUUUACUUUGAAAAAAUUAGAGUGCUCCAGGCAGGCCUAUGCUCGAAUACAUUAGCAUGGAAUAAUAAAAUAGGACGCGCGGUUCUAUUUUGUUGGUUUCUAGGACCGCCGUAAUGAUUAAUAGGGACAGUCGGGGGCAUCAGUAUUCAAUUGUCAGAGGUGAAAUUCUUGGAUUUAUUGAAGACUAACUACUGCGAAAGCAUUUGCCAAGGAUGUUUUCAUUAAUCAGGAACGAAAGUUAGGGGAUCGAAGACGAUCAGAUACCGUCGUAGUCUUAACCAUAAACUAUGCCGACUAGGGAUCGGACGAUGUUAAUUAUUGACUCGUUCGGCACCUUACGAGAAAUCAAAGUGCUUGGGCUCCAGGGGGAGUAUGGUCGCAAGGCUGAAACUUAAAGGAAUUGACGGAAGA